ACAGGGGCAGAUCACUCUCAUUUUGGAAAUUUCAACGUGAUCAAUUUUGCCAAAAUUUUUGGUCAGAGAAUAAAGAAAAAUUGAAAUGGCAGAGGAAGAAGAGAAAGGAUACAGAUGGGAAACAGAAUAUGAACGCACUUGGGAAGCAAUUCAAGAAGAUGAAAAAGGGUCGCUUCAGGCCAGUGUUGAUGAUAUCAUCAGCAAAGCUAAGAAGAGAAAACUCUUGGAGAAAAUCAAGAAUGUUCGGCUUGGUAUGAUGAGGCACUUAUUCCUGAUUAUUGACAUGUCAGAAGCUAUGAGCGACCAGGAUCUGAAACCCACUCGUCUACUUUCAACACUGAAACUUUUGGAAUACUUUGUUGAAGAGUAUUUUGAUCAAAACCCUAUAAGUCAACUUGGUAUCAUCAUUACAAAGAACAAAAGGGCAGAGAAAGUCUCUGAGCUUGGAGGCAACCCUAGGAGACAUAUUACAACUUUACAAAGUCUUGCUGAUAAAGUGUGUCAUGGUGAACCGUCUCUACAGAAUUCAUUAGAACUUGCUCACCAAACUCUCAGGCACAUGCCAGGGCAUGCCAGUAGAGAAGUUUUAGUUGUUAUGGGCAGUUUGACAACCUGUGACCCAGACAACAUCAUCAGCACCAUCUCUAUGCUGAGGGAUGGUAAUGUCAGAUGCUCUGUCAUUGGUCUAGCAGCUGAAGUCUGUGUCUGUAAAAAGCUUUGCAAAGAAACACAUGGUAGCUACAGUGUUAUAUUGGAUGAAUGCCACUUCAAAGAUCUCCUCACUCAACACGUCACCCCACCACCCGCCACUGCUAGUACAGAAUCUUCACUCAUUAGAAUGGGUUUUCCUCAUCAUCAGCUGAGUGCAGACAAGGAGGAGAGACCAUCCAUGUGUAUGUGUCACCUGGACAGUAAAAACAGCCAGGGGUUCAGUAGUACAGGCUACUUCUGUCCCCAGUGUAAGAGUAAAUACUGCGAGCUGCCCAUCGAGUGCAAGGCCUGCGGCCUGACUCUGGUAUCGGCCCCUCAUCUCGCUCGCUCCUAUCAUCACCUCUUCCCACUGGAUCAGUUCCGGGAAAUACCUACAGCUCAAGUAGGAUCCAAUGUGUAAGACUCCCAAAUGGGUCUAUAUUUCUAUGUUUUAACUUUAAUGCAUCUGAAAUUUUUAUGACACCAGAAUGUUUAAAUGUGGUUUUCUUUUCAGAUUAUGUUUUUCUUGUCAAACAGCUGUUCAAGAACUCAAUGUAUACAUAUGUGACAACUGUGAGCGUAUUUAUUGUUUGGACUGUGAUCUCUUUAUACACGAGACUUUACACUCCUGUCCGGGGUGUGCUAGCUCACGACAGACUCAACAGUCAGCCAAGAUGGCUGGCUUCUCUUGACACAGUAAUAAAAGUAAUAACAACAAC
rnacentral:misc_RNA from 1 species